rnacentral:rRNA from 1 species
GAUGAACGCUGGCGGCGUGCUUAACACAUGCAAGUCGAACGGAAAGGCCCAAGCUUGCUUGGGUACUCGAGUGGCGAACGGGUGAGUAACACGUGGGUGAUCUGCCCUGCACUUCGGGAUAAGCCUGGGAAACUGGGUCUAAUACCGGAUAGGACCACUUCUUGGAUGUUGUGGUGGAAAGUUUUUUCGGUGUGGGAUGAGCUCGCGGCCUAUCAGCUUGUUGGUGGGGUAAUGGCCUACCAAGGCGUCGACGGGUAGCCGGCCUGAGAGGGUGUACGGCCACAUUGGGACUGGGAUACGGCCCAGACUCCUACGGGAGGCAGCAGGGGGGAAUAUUGCACAAUGGGCGCAAGCCUGAUGCAGCGACGCCGCGUGGGGGAUGACGGCCUUCGGGUUGGAAACUCCUUUCGCUAGGGACGAAGCGUUUUGUGACGGUACCUGGAGAAGAAGCACCGGCUAACUACGUG